UUCCUUUUUCUAACGAGGAACAUCUCAUGCGGUUUGCUCGACUCAGCCAAUACAGAUAGAGGUAGGUGAAGAUGCUGUUCUUCAGUGUUGGCUGGACCCAACGAUCGAUGUGUCCACGUACACAUGUGAUUGGAAGAGACUUGACCUCGACGGGUUCGUCUACGUCUAUCGAUAUCAACGGGAUAACCAUGAUUCCCAGAUGAAGAGAUACAAAGGCAGGACGACUUUCAUCUAUGAAGACCUGAUUAAAGGGAACCUGACUCUGAAGAUCUCCUCAGUCCAGCUGAAUGACAGCGGACACUACAGAUGCUAUGUUCCUAAACUGGACACAAGCUGCGUCAUGAACGUCAGUGUUGUACCAAAGGAGCAGCUGAGCAGUAUGAAGAGCGGUGAAGACGCCAUCACAACCAGACCUCCAGUGUAUGAUGUGACUGAGC